GACACGCUGGCGGCGUGCCUAACACAUGCAAGUCGAACGGAGAAGUUGAUUUCGGUUGACUUCUUAGUGGCGAACGGGUGAGUAACGCGUGAACAGCCUGACCUCAAGAGGGGGAUACCAACGAGAAAUCGUUGUUAAUACCGCAUAAGACCACAGCGCCGCAUGGCAAAGGGGUCAAAGGAGCAAUCCGCUUGAGGAGGGGUUCGCGUCCCAUUAGGUAGUAGGCGGGGUAACGGCCCACCUAGCCAGCGAUGGGUAGCCGAGCUGAGAGGCUGAACGGCCACACUGGAACUGAGACACGGUCCAGACUCCUACGGGAGGCAGCAGUGGGGAAUUUUGGACAAUGGGGGCAACCCUGAUCCAGCCAUGCCGCGUGAGUGAAGAAGGCCUUCGGGUUGUAAAGCUCUUUCGGCCGGGAAGAAAUCGUAUGGGUUAAUACCCUGUGCGGAUGACGGUACCGGCAUAAGAAGCACCGGCUAACUACGUG
rnacentral:rRNA from 1 species